GACGAACGCUGGCGGCGUGCUUAACACAUGCAAGUCGAACGGAAAGGCCCUGCUUUUGUGGGGUGCUCGAGUGGCGAACGGGUGAGUAACACGUGAGUAACCUGCCCUUGACUUUGGGAUAACUUCAGGAAACUGGGGCUAAUACCGGAUAGGAGCUCCUGCUGCAUGGUGGGGGUUGGAAAGCUUCGGCGGUUGGGGAUGGACUCGCGGCUUAUCAGCUUGUUGGUGGGGUAGUGGCUUACCAAGGCUUUGACGGGUAGCCGGCCUGAGAGGGUGACCGGCCACAUUGGGACUGAGAUACGGCCCAGACUCCUACGGGAGGAAGCGGUGGGGAAUAUUGCAAAAUGGGCGGAAGCCUGAUGCAGCAACGCCGCGUGCGGGAUGACGGCCUUCGGGUUGUAAACCGCUUUCGCCUGUGACGAAGCGUGAGUGACGGUAAUGGGUAAAGAAGCACCGGCUAACUACGU
rnacentral:rRNA from 1 species